UACGGGAGGCAGCAGUGGGGAAUAUUGCGCAAUGGGCGAAAGCCUGACGCAGCAACGCCGCGUGCGGGAUGACGGCCUUCGGGUUGUAAACCGCUUUCAGCAGGGAAGAAGCCGCAAGGUGACGGUACCUGCAGAAGAAGCACCGGCUAACUACGUGCCAGCAGCCGCGGUAAUACGUAGGGUGCAAGCGUUGUCCGGAUUUAUUGGGCGUAAAGAGCUCGUAGGCGGUCUGUUACGUCGGUUGUGAAAACUCGGGGCUUAACCCCGAGCCUGCAUCCGAUACGGGCAGACUUGAGUGUGGUAGGGGAGACUGGAAUUCCUGGUGUAGCGGUGAAAUGCGCAGAUAUCAGGAGGAACACCGAUGGCGAAGGCAGGUCUCUGGGCCACAACUGACGCUGAGGAGCGAAAGCGUGGGGAGCAAACAGGAUUAGAUACCCUGGUAGUCCACGCCGUAAACGGUGGGCGCUAGGUGUGGGGAACAUUCCACGUUCUCCGUGCCGCAGCUAACGCAUAAGCGCCCCGCC
rnacentral:rRNA from 1 species